rnacentral:lncRNA from 1 species
CGAGAGCUUGGGGAUAUGAAUUACACCGGGGCAGCACUGGCCGUUCUAGACCAGUGACCCACUUCAAAUGGCCUUGUAGUGCUUGGCUGUCCUUCAGAGGCUGGACGUCUGGCUCUCAGGCGGAAGUGACCUGGGUGUGUGGAGCCGAAAAUUAGACCUGCUGUGUAAGACCAGCCACCUUUCUGACACAGGGAUCAGUGCUUUGGUUGAAAUCCCUGGGAACUGUGUCGCUGCAGCCGUUGGCAGAGAAUUGAUCAUUUUUAGGCUUGUAACACCCACAGAAGAACUGCUUGAAUGGGAUAUUAUAGAGGUUAAACGCCUUCUCGAUCACCAGGACAAUAUCCUGUCAUUGGCUAACAUCAAUGAUACAAGUUUUGUCACUGGCUCCCAUGUUGGGGAGCUGAUCAUCUGGGAUGCUCUGGACUGGACCGUGCAGGCCUGUGAACGCACCUUCUGGAGCCCGACGCCACAGCUGGAUGCCCAGCAGGAAAUAAAGCUCUGCCAAAAGCAAAA